GGGUGCCGAGAAGAGACAGCGCCGCCGGCCGUGGGGAGCGGACGCAGUGAUUUGCUCCCCCUCGUGCAGCAACCCCCACACCCAGCACCAGGCCCCCAGAACUCUCCUUCCAGCUGAACUCCCUGGGAACAAGUCAGUUGGGCUGAUCACUGAACUCACAUUUCUGGACCUGAGGUGGUAUGUGAUCCCCAGCUCAGGCCUGUGCAGACAGGAAAUUCUCCCCUGCAGCAAGUAGGGGAGGUGGGUUGUGGGAUGUGACCUCCUUCCAGAUAUCAGGCAGUGAGUGUAAACCUGCCACCUCCAGCCCUGAUCCAUUCUCACCUAGCGGCUACAGGAAGCUGUGUCUGUUCGAUUUGGUGGGAGGAGAUGUGCAGGGAGCUGUAUCUUGUCCUCCGCUUGUGAAAAACUCAAGGAUGUGGAGAAGAGUAGACCGUGGAACCCUGCUCUUCUGCAGCCAAGCUGAGGGGCAGGAUGCGUGUGGGACAGUGGUAGAGAAGCAGGGGAUAGACUCAUAGGCUGCAACAAAGGUGACUCUGUCCCUGGACACUGCCUCCGUACUUUCUCCUUGCUUCACUGGCCACAGCAUCUCCCUCCAGCCCUCGCUAUGUGCCUCUGCCAUCUUCACCCAUCAUGGAGCAGAGGUGAGGAGAGGCAGCCUGGGAAUAUGGAGACCAGUGAAGGACCAGGCCUGGAGAGCACAGGGUCCUACCUGGGCAUCCAGCAGAGGAGCCCCUAAAGGCCAGGAGCACCCCAAGAGGAGGGAGGGCAGCCAGCCUCCAUUGACGGCGAGCCUCCAGCCCUCUCCUACUUUGAUCACCAUUUCUCUCCAGGCUUUCUGCCUCCGAGAUGUGGCACCAUAGUGCGGUGCCCUGUGGCUUCACCGCCCUACUUCCACCUCCGCCCAGCCUGUAAUGUUUAUAUAAGCAGCCUCAAGGACCAAGAACCAUCUGCGAAAGGACACACACAGGAAAUUCAUAAAAGAAAUCUGAAUGGAUAAAACCAUGAAAAAAAGUAUGCUUCAUUAGUAAUUAAAGAAAGGCAAAUAGAGCUGGAAGCAUUUUUCCCUUAGCAAACCAUAACAGAAAAAAAUAAGACCCAAUAUUGGCAAAGAGACUACUGAAAAAACAUUCCCAUACAUUGCGUGUGGGAGUAUACAUCGGUGCAGGCUUCCUGGAUGACAGUUGGGUGAUAUGUGUCAUGUGGCCUAAAAGCCUCCAUGUCAUUUGACCUACGAAUUCUAUCUUUGGGAAUUUAUCCUAAGAAAAUACUUAAGGAUUUAGUUAGUGAUAAGAUGUUCAUCCCAGCAUUGCAAUGGAGAAAAAUGGGAAGCAAUGGUUUGGUUGGGAAUUUAUUCCUUUUCUGCUGUAACGAAAGUUUGCAAUAGGGGAUUGCUUAAGUAAAUUAUUGUAUCUCCAUCCAGAUGGUGGAGUACCGCGCAGACAUUAAAAGUCAUGUAAAAGAACAUCUGACUGAAAGAAAAAUGCUCCUUGAAUAUUAAAAGGUUGUAAAAAUAGUGCAUGUUAUGUGAUUUCAAUUUUGUUUUUUAAAAUAUGGGUGUAUGCUUGUAUACGUAGAGCAGAUAAAAAAGACGGAAGGCAUACUAAAAAA
ensembl:lncRNA MIR22HG MIR22 host gene